UGAGUGCGUAAUUUGGAGACUCGUAUAAUGCCGGGGAUAUGGCCUGGCAGUCUCUACCGGGCAACCUUAAAUUGCCUGACUACGAGGUCGGUUUUUCAUUAU
rnacentral:ncRNA from 2 species